rnacentral:rRNA from 1 species
UACGUAGGGUGCAAGCGUUGUCCGGAAUUAUUGGGCGUAAAGAGCUCGUAGGCGGUUUGUCGCGUCUGCUGUGAAAACUCAGGGCUUAACCCUGAGCCUGCAGUGGGUACGGGCAGACUAGAGUGUGGUAGGGGAGAUCGGAAUUCCGUGGUGUAGCGGUGGAAUGCGCAGGAUAUCAGGAAGAACACCCGUGGCUAAGGGCGGCUCCUCUAGUACGGUACUGACGCUGAGACGCGAAAGCGUGGGGAGCGAACAGG